CGCUGCUAGAGCUUGCCAUUCUCCUGUCCUCACUUUCGGCUUCUACGAUUACUUCCUGUGUUUCAUCGGUGCCGUUUUCGACGCCAAGGGUGCGGAUUCAUUUCUCUCUUUUGAAAAGUUCUGCUGCAAUCUCCCCAGACCUCUUCUUCAGAUCAUAUAUGAUUAAUGUGAAUGAAGAACACUAGGUUGAGUUGAAUUGAAUUGAAUCAUGGAUAAGAGCAUGUUAGCUGGUUUGGAAUCAUUUGCUUUUGCUAACUUUGCCAAUCCACUAUGCUUUCUUUACUCUCUUGAUUUAUUACACUGAUCUAAUGUUCUCAAUGUUCUGUAGAUUCUAUGAAAUUUAGCA